rnacentral:rRNA from 1 species
ACGGGAGGCAGCAGUGGGGAAUAUUGGGCAAUGGGCGCAAGCCUGACCCAGCAACGCCGCGUGAAGGAAGAAGGUUUUCGGAUUGUAAACUUCUGUCCUUGGUGACGAAGGAAGUGACGGUAGCCAAGGAGGAAGCCCCGGCUAACUACGUGCCAGCAGCCGCGGUAAUACGUAGGGGGCAAGCGUUAUCCGGAUUUACUGGGUGUAAAGGGAGCGUAGACGGCAAGGUAAGUCUGAAGUGAAAUGCCGGGGCUCAACCCCGGAACUGCUUUGGAAACUAUCUCGCUCGAGUACCGGAGGGGUAAGCGGAAUUCCUAGUGUAGCGGUGAAAUGCGUAGAUAUUAGGAGGAACACCAGUGGCGAAGGCGGCUUACUGGACGGUAACUGACGUUGAGGCUCGAAAGCGUGGGGAGCAAACAGGAUUAGAUACCCUGGUA